rnacentral:rRNA from 1 species
AAGUGGUAGCAAUACCAUGAGUAAAGUGGCGCACGGGUGAGUAACACGUGACUAACCUACCCCGGAGUGGGGGAUAACUGAGGGAAACCUUAGCUAAUACCGCAUAAUACCCACGGGUCAAAGGAGCAAUUCGCUUUGGGAGGGGGUCGCGGCCGAUUAGUUAGUUGGCGGGGUAACGGCCCACCAAGACGAUGAUCUGUAUCCGGCCUGAGAGGGCGCACGGACACACUGGAACUGAAACACGGUCCAGACUCCUACGGGAGGCAGCAGUGGGGAAUUUUGCGCAAUGGGGGAAACCCUGACGCAGCAACGCCGCGUGGAGGAUGAAGUCCUUCGGG